rnacentral:rRNA from 1 species
CUAGGGAGGCAGCAGUGGGGAAUAUUGGACAAUGGGCGAAAGCCUGAUCCAGCCAUGCCGCGUGUGUGAAGAAGGCCUUCGGGUUGUAAAGCACUUUCAGUGGGGAAGAAAGCCUUGGGGCUAAUACCCUCGAGGAAGGACAUCACCCACAGAAGAAGCACCGGCUAACUCCGUGCCAGCAGCCGCGGUAAUACGGAGGGUGCGAGCGUUAAUCGGAAUUACUGGGCGUAAAGCGCGCGUAGGCGGUCUGAUAAGCCGGUUGUGAAAGCCCCGGGCUCAACCUGGGAACGGCAUCCGGAACUGUCAGGCUAGAGUGCAGGAGAGGAAGGUAGAAUUCCCGGUGUAGCGGUGAAAUGCGUAGAGAUCGGGAGGAAUACCAGUGGCGAAGGCGGCCUUCUGGACUGACACUGACGCUGAGGUGCGAAAGCGUGGGUAGCAAACAGGAUUAGAUACCCGGGUAGUC